GAUGAAGAACGUAGCGAAAUGCGAUAAGUAGUGUGAAUUGCAGAAUUUAGUGAAUCAUCGAAUCCUUGAACGCACAUUGCGCCCUAUAGUAUUCUGUAGGGCAUGCCUGUUCGAGCGUUAUUGAGACCUCAAGCUCUGCUUGGAAAUGGGCGCUUGUCUUGCCUUGCAGACUCGCCUUAAAACCAUUGGCAGCUGAUUUACAAUGUUUGGUGCACAGUACAUGAGCCCAAGUGUUGCAAUGAGUGGCCCAAAAGUAUACAAUAGAAGCUUAACCUCGGAUCAGGUAGGGAUACCCGCUGAACUUAAGCAUAUCAAUAAGCGGAGGA
rnacentral:misc_RNA from 1 species